rnacentral:rRNA from 1 species
UCCGUAGGGUGCGAGCGUUGUCCGGAUUUAUUGGGCGUAAAGAGCUCGUAGGCGGUUUGUCGCGUCGGCCGUGAAAUCUCCACGCUUAACGUGGAGCGUGCGGUCGAUACGGGCAGACUUGAGUUCGGUAGGGGAGACUGGAAUUCCUGGUGUAGCGGUGAAAUGCGCAGAUAUCAGGAGGAACACCUGCGGCGAAGGCGGGUUGCUGGGCCGACACUGACGCUGAUGCGCGAAAGCGUGGGGAGCGAACAGG